GCCGGAGAAGGAUUCGGAGAGGAAGGGACGGGAAAAGGGCCCGAGGAAGGAGGGGGAUGGGAGGUGGAGGAGGAUCUGGAUCUGCCCCCGGAGCUGGACGUUCCCUCUGGUCCCUCCGGAGCAGCCGAGGACGGGUUCUUUGUGCCGCCCACCAAAGGCACCAGCCCGGCCCAGGCCUGGUGCAACAAUUCCCAGCUGCCCGUGGAUCACAUCCUGGCCGGUUCCUUCGAGACCGCCAUG